GGAAAACUCAGCCAUGUGGAAGCAAGACAACCAAUAUAAAACCGUCACUGUGUACUCCCCAUACAGAGAGAAGGUUAAGAGCAACAAGAUGGGAGGCAGCUGCAUGGAACCUGUCCCACUGAGGAAGUAAAACAGGAAUCCAAAAUAAAACGUUUGCUGGGAAUUAUAAAGAAUUUCAUUGAGAAAGUAAAAAAGAAAAAUCUAUGCAAAGGAAGUGAUUCUGUUGUUUAAUGCCAUCACCUGUCAUUCUGUCUCUUACCAUGGCUGGCUUGGCUAGUGGCACCACGAACAGAUCCCUACAGACCCCAACACCAAGAAAACCCUACCUGAUGGACUGGACUUCUGCCUGGAUUGGAGUUUGAUCAUGCCUCCAUAUGGGUGUUUACCAGGCGUAUGCAUUGAACCUGAGUUUGUCUCUUCAAUACAAGGAAAAUCUCUGCCGCUUAGUGAUUUUCCAAGAAACAUGAGCUUCUGCCUUUCAAUGAGGAAGAUACUCAGAAGUCAUGUUCGAGCACUCCGGAAAAUGUCCUUGGAGUUUCAACAUUUCUUUGGUCUUCCACAUUUCAUUUUGUCCUGAUUAAAGAGGAAGCCAGUUGCUGUUUGUGCAAGAUGCCGUGCUGGAACCUGCCCUGUGGAGAGGCAUACAUGGUGAAAAACCAGGGAAGGCCUCUGAGCAACAGCUCUUGAGAAACUAAAGCCCUAAACCCAUCAACUUGCAAAGAACUGCAUCCUGCCACCAACUGCGUGAGUGAGGUCAGGUGGAUCUUUCCCUGGUCCAGCCUUGAGAUGACUGCAGUCCCAGACAACACCUUGACUGCUGCCUUGUGAUGCAGCUGGCGCCAAGCAGUGCCAAUUCCUGGCCCUCAAAAACCAUGAGAUAAUAGUGCUGUUGUUGUAAGUCACCCAAGUUUGGGGUAAUUUGUUAUCUAGCAGUAGAUAGCCAAUACAUCAAACUAGAAACAUUCUCCAUCAUUGAUUGGAAGACUUUGGGUUUUUAAAAAGGGUAAACACACAUAUACACAGCUUAUUAUAUUUCCUUCCACAUUUAUUUUGGAGGGGAAAUGUUUUACUUCUUAUCCCACCGCUUUGCCCUUUCUAAAAGAAUGUGUUAGGAUUACUGUGAUUCAAAUGGUAAAAAUUUUCCCAGUGAAAUAAAGACUUUAUACCAACUGGAUUUCUUGCUUAGAAAGCUGUGUUUUCUCCACUAAUAUCUUGAAUUUGAUAUUUUCAACUAUCUCUAUUGAAUUCACUUGUAAAUGAAUUGCGUUUUUCCCUCUAUUAUGAACUGAAUGUUUGUAUCUCUUCAAAAUUCAUAUGUUGAGGCUGUAAUUCCCAG
rnacentral:lncRNA from 1 species